GAAACAGUUGCUAAGACUGGAUAGGAAAUAAAAAGGCAUCUUUUUAUUUUUAAAAGACCUUUUUCGGAAGGUAUGCUUAAAGAGGGGCUUGCGUCACAUUAGUUAGUUGGCAGGGUAAAGGCCUACCAAGACUAUGAUGUGUAGCUGGACUGAGAGGUUGAACAGCCACAUUGGGACUGAGACACGGCCCAAACUCCUACGGGAGGCAGCAGUAGGGAAUUUUCGGCAAUGGAGGAAACUCUGACCGAGCAACGCCGCGUGAACGAUGAAGUAUUUCGGUAUGUAAAGUUCUUUUAUUGAAGAAGAAAAAAUAGUGGAAAAACUAUCUUGACGAUAUUCAAUGAAUAAGCCCCGGCAAACUAUGUGCCAGCAGCCGCGGUAAUACAUAGGGGGCGAGCGUAUUCCGGAAUUAUUGGGCGUAAAGGGUGCGUAGGCGGUUUAAUAAGUCUAUAGUUUAAUUUCAGUGCUUAACACUGUCCUGCUAUAGAAACUAUUAGACUAGAGUGGGAUAGAGGCAAGUGGAAUUCCAUGUGUAGCGGUAAAAUGCGUAAAUAUAUGGAGGAACACCAGAGGCGUAGGCGGCUUGCUGGGUCUUUACUGACGCUGAGGCACGAAAGCGUGGGGAGCAAACAGGAUUAGAUACCCUGGUAGUCCACGCCGUAAACGAUGAGUACUAAGUGUCGGGAUUACUCGGUACUGAAGUUAACACAUUAAGUACUCCGCCUGAGUAGUACGUACGCAAGUAUGAAACUUAAAGGAAUUGACGGGACUCCGCACAAGCGGUGGAUCAUGUUGUUUAAUUCGAAGAUACACGAAAAACCUUACCAGGUCUUGACAUACUCUGCAAAGCUAUAGCAAUAUAGUGGAGGUUAUCAGGGAUACAGGUGGUGCAUGGUUGUCGUCAGCUCGUGUCGUGAGAUGUUAGGUUAAGUCCUAAAACGAGCGCAACCCUUGUCAUUAGUUGCCAGCAUGUCAUGAUGGGCACUUUAAUGAGACUGCCAAUGAAAAAUUGGAGGAAGGUGAGGAUCACGUCAAAUCAUCAUGCCCCUUAUGAUCUGGGCUACAAACGUGAUACAAUGGCUGUUACAAAGAGUAGCUGAAACGCAAGUUUAUAGCCAAUCUCAUAAAAGCAGUCUCAGUUCGGAUUGAAGUCUGCAACUCGACUUCAUGAAGUUGGAAUCGCUAGUAAUCGCGAAUCAGCAUGUCGCGGUGAAUACGUUCUCGGGGUUUGUACACACCGCCCGUCA
rnacentral:rRNA from 1 species